rnacentral:rRNA from 1 species
GACGAACGCUGGCGGCGUGCAUAACACAUGCAAGUCAAGGGGGUCAGUAGCAAUACUGGCAACCGGCGAACGGGUGCGUAACACGUAAGCGACCUACCUCGAUGUGGGGCAUAGCCGGCCUAACGGCCGGGUAAUUCCGCAUAAGAUCCCGAUGAGGCAUCUCAUUGGGAUGAAACCAGUAAUGGGCGUCGAGAGGGGCUUGCGGCCUAUCAGCUAGUUGGUGAGGAACGGCUCACCAAGGCUACGACGGGUAGCUGGUCUGAGAGGAUGGCCAGCCACAUUGGGACUGAGAUACGGCCCAGACUCCUACGGGAGGCAGCAGUGGGGAAUCUUGCGCAAUGGCCUAACGGCUGACGCAGCGACGCCGCGUGAGGGAUGAAGCUUUCGGAGUGUAAACCUCUGUUGCCCGGGACGAUAGCGGAUUAUUCCGCUUGACGGUACCGGGUGAGGAAGCACCGCUAACUCGUGCCAGCAGCCGCCGCAGUA